GCGAAGAGGUCACACCCGUUCCCAUGCCGAACACGGAAGUUAAGCUCUUCAGCGCCGAUGGUAGUUGGGGGUUUCCCCCUGUGAGAGUAGGACGUCGCCAAGU
rnacentral:rRNA from 1 species